rnacentral:lncRNA from 1 species
GCCUAGUGGGCUGCAGACUCUCCCAAGAGAGAAAAGACACCCGAGAGCAGAUUCCUGAUGCUGUGGAAGAACUCUGCUUCCAAACAAUGCCCACCUCCCAUUUCAUCCUCCCUUUCCACCAGCCAAAGAUGUCAACUUGAAGGAACGCUAUUGGCAUCUGCUUGGGAACUAUUUCUGGGAAAUAAAGAGAGAAAAGACAUCUGUUGUGAAAGGACAUGUAGUGGAGCCAAGGUUUCCGCAGACUUGGGGAGAAGAAGAUAUGACAGUGCAGACCUGGGUCAGCUCCCCUGGGUUACCCCCGGCAGCAGGCAGCUGCUAGUGCACUGCCUGCAGAGGAGGAAGAUAACACGCUUUUCUGUUGUUGGACAGAAGCUUGCUUCCAGAUUGGCCUCAGGUCAGCCAACAGCCCUCUGCCUGGCCCGCCUGUCCAUGGGCCCAGGACCUAACUCCUUUGGUUCAUCCACUGC